AGAUUUAGUUUCCUGACAAAGCAGAAUUGCUGGCCACAGGAAACAGUAGAAGAAGAAACCUGAUCCUUAUCUCCCAUUUUACUAUCUACAGGUAUCUUGUUGCCUAGCAAAGCUCUUGCAUUUUUAAAGAUAAAUACUGAUAUACAGAGUGUGGGAGGCUGACAGAAAAUAGCAGGCUUUAAUUCUCACCUCUGUGGAAAUCGCUGGCUCUGAGAAACAGAAAUAUUGCAAUGGAUGAAGAGCAAUAUUUCACUUCUGAAGAAAAUAUCCCCCUAUCAUCACGAUCCUGGCUCUGGAAGAAGAGGAAUUUUGUUUCUCCUGCUGCUAAAAGCCAAAGCAAAACAGGUAUCACAUGUGCUGAGGAGAUGUCUGUCUUAGGCCUGGCUGGAAACCUUUGACAGGCCACACAGGUGGGACUGCAGGCUUGGGGUCUCUCAUCCCAGACCGAAGGUGGUGUGACUGAGCACAUUUGUGAUUUUUUCAAUGUUACUGAUCCAGUCUAGCUGUUUAUAAAGCUAAUCUGUUCUGUCCAGUUGUAAGCCCAAGGUCCGGUCUCAACCACUUUCCCUCUAUAUUUCAGUUUGUGGGGGAGACGGAAGCAGAAGAGCACAUUUGGAAAAGCAGAAUACAGCUUAGUCAUACUAAUUGCUAGUUUCAGAUAUGACCCUACAGCUACAUUAACUGGCACACUGGCAUUUGUGAUAACCAAGUAUCUGUGAGGUUGAAAGACUAAUGAGGUAACUUACUGUUGUCAUAUCCAGCACUUUAGCUUGUAUUACAAUAGCCCUCGGCCGAGUUGGCUCAGUGUGCUGGCACCACCCUUGUACGUCAUGGGCAGACCAUUGCGUGUUAGCAGUCACAGCACCACUUAAGUGGACAGUUACGGUGCUGGAUGAAAUAGGAUCCGCUGCAGUGACUAAGUCUGUAUUCCCCAAUGCUCUAAUUGCUGCAACCUAGGCGGGUCCCGAAGUGGCUUUGGAGCAAAACAUGAAUAUACCUGCCAUCUACGUGAACAUCGGUAAUAACAUUGCAGUAGCCCUACAACCGUAAAUAACACACCGGGCCUCACCUUCCCCUGAAGUUAGUUUGAGACCUAACGAUUCAGUGAUUUCAGCUGCAGAGGACUGACUGAUCUGUUAGGGAUCAGAUUAGGUUAAAGAGUAUUGGAGCUCUGUUGAAGAGUCAUGCUACAGUUUGGGGUACAGAGAAAUUUCCAUGGGGCUUUUCCUUUUUGGAACUCUGUGAAGUCAAACCAUAAACUUAACAAGGUCAACUGCAUAAAAAUGUCAGAGAUGAGAUGCCAGGAGAGAACCGAGUUAAUUCAACUCCUGCUGAAGUCAAUGAAGAUUGAAUUUAUUCAGGAUAUUGACUGCUGAACUUGAAAUUCUUUAGGAAAUAUAAGUAAAAAGGCCCAGUGAUCCAAACUCAGGCACGAAAGAAUUUUUUGCUAUUGUUCUGCUUGUGAGUUUUCCCCCAUUAAGAUACAAUCACAUUAGACUGUUGGAGCUGUGAUUCUUGUUAUUCUGGUUACUUCUGAUAGCUGAUCUGCAAUGAAAUAAGGAAGAAAAAAUAUGAAAGUAGAACUGAAUCUUCUGACAAAUAUUCCACUGGAAGUUUUCCAAGGAGAAUGUCACCUUAUCAAAAUCAAAACUUUUCAUGGGGAUACCAGGACAUUAUAGACAGAAGAGCCUUCAGUAUGGACCUAGAAUGGAAAUUCAUAUUGGCACCAGAGAGAGAUACACUCCAAAAUGUCCAGUACUGAAAUACUUAAGGCAAGCACUUAUGUUCUUGCUCCACUGAAGAUGAGGAAGUUGAACCUCAGGUUAUGUUUCAGUAGAUUAGCGCACACACAGAACAGCCCAGCCUCGUGGCACCCCUUUCUGCACUGCAGAAAAUUGAAGAGUUUAAAAGUUUCCAUGCUGUGCUGUGCUGCUCAGGCAGUCUGGCAUGAGCCUUUAGCCGGUUUCCUUAGCAUCCGCGGCACAGGCCUUUCUGUGAAUUUGUCUGAAGCACAAUUCAAUAAUGCAAGACAUCGACAGGCCUGAGGCAUGUUCUCAUGGCUGCUCCUCAGAUGUUUAUUGUGGGCAACCAUGCCAGAUGAUGUGUGGCUUGCCAGUGCUUUGUGAUUGCUUGUGAUCAUUAAAAAUACAAAAAGAUAAACAUUGUCUGUAACCACAUGAAGCCUAUCUGGGUGCAUUUUGGCUGGAAUUACAACUACUCAUACCUCAAGGAAACUGCAGACCUCCCUAGCUCUGUGCACACUAUCUAACCCAGGCAUCCGUGCUUUUAUAGCAGAGCUUCUACCAGUGGUAAAGCUGGCGUGCAGUACUUCUGGGCAUGUGGCUCCCAUUUCACAAGGCCUAAUCCUGUGAAACCCCCACUGCCAUCGAGAUCCUGAGCAUAAUACCAUUUUGAGCAAGUUGCUCUAGUAUAUUUAUAAUUAUAUCAGAAUUGGUAGACUCCUUCCAGCCCUUUUCUGUUCUGUAAACUCGCUGAUAAACCUGCAGGCAAAUGUACAGACUGGAUUCCAUCCACCUCUAUUCUUUAACUCUCUAAAUAUAGACACAGUUCAACAAGCAGUGGAAAUAGCUUCCCCUCAGAGAAUGAGAGUUUUUGUCACAGACUAAUUUCUCCUGGUUGGAAAGGAAAGAGCUUCCUAAUAAAUGAAACGGACAAUAAUAAAUUCAAAAAUAACAGUCUUAUCUUUUAUCUUAUAGAUGAUGCUAAUAUGGACAAAUAAAAUCAUAUUAAUUAUUCUAUCUGGACAUUUUGACCAACCUGUACUAAAUCCUUAAUUUCGAUAUUUAUUGUACAGAAAAAAAAGGAACUUCAUAAAAUAACUACCUUUAAUAGAAAUUAGCCUUUUCUGGAGAUAUGUGAAUUUCCUUACAGAGCCCUUUGUCUUCCCUCAGUCCAUAGCUGCAAGUGAUCAGAUUCAGUCUGAGCAAAUAACUUCCUAUUUAUGUUACACUGCUUUUUGGAUUAAUAACAUUCCCAUUAAAGUCAAUGAAGGUUUGACAUCACUUCUAAUGCCAGCAAAACUGAGCUAUUCCACUGACUUUGCUGACUGCAAAACCAAGCCCUUUUUCCAUCUCACAAAAGCAAUUGGUUGUGAGAAGGGAUACAGAACAUAUAGAUCUCCUCCUCAGAAUACCAGUCAUUGCUAAGUUUAAAAUUUUGGUCUUAUAAUAAAAGAAAAUAGAUUUAAUGUGCACAUGCAUGCCUUGCCCAAGAUGUAUUUUUGGUACAAGAAAAGGAUUGCAAUUUUGUGUUUCAUUUGGACCAAUGGCUAUUAUAUGAGAAGUUUGACAGAACAUGCUUUUGAGUAUUAAACCUGUAUGUUUUCUCUAAUGGCUGAGUAUUAUUGCAUUGUUGCUAUUGGCGAAAAAAAGCUGAAUAUUUUAUGUUUGCAAAGAAAACAAGUGCCAUGCCAGACCAUUUGUCUUUGCUCUGAGAUCCUCUGAAAAAUUCCCUUUAUAUAACAACAUAUAACAUGGCACAUCUGCUGCUUCUUUUCUCUUAUCUGCUUUUGGGAGGGAUUUGUUAUGAGGAAGGAGGAAAUUGAGAGUGCAGUGCAGUAAAAUUUUUCUGUUUUACUUUGUUUUGAUCACUUAAAAAUGCACGUUCAAAUAUGCAAAUAUUUUUACUUCACCAGGAAAAUGUUUCCUUAAAAUUGCAAUAUGAUAAUAAUAUUAAUAAUAAUGAUAAUGUAACAUAAUGAUAUGGUAAUACAAUGCUUUUCCAUGUCGGCA